UAAGGCCUUACAGAGCUAAAGGCUGCGCAAUCAAAGCAGGUUGCGGAUAUAGGCUAUACCGGACAAUGAGGAAGAGUUAAGAAAUUAAAACGGACAAGUUUAUCACAAGAGCCGUUCUGAAUGGUAAAGCGUAUCCUGAUGGGGUGGGGAAGAACAAGAAGGAAGCCAAACAGAACGCAGCUAAAAAUGCCUUGAAAUGCUUGUUGGAGACUGAACAUCCGGACUCAGUUAAAACAUCUGCAGAUGAUAAAAACUGUACAUCAGCUCAACAAAUGGAGGAACAAAAUCCAAAUGUUUCUAAUAUCAGUAAGAAGGUAAGGCGCCUCAAUGUGAACUCGCAGCCUUAUGGGAACCAACAGAGACAAAGGGAGGAAAAUAGAGGGACAAAUUUCAUAGGACUUGUUGACCACUACUGUCAAAAAAAAAAACUAUGCCAUUCUUACAUUGAAGAAAGGAGAGACGGUCCACCCCAUGACCCUGUAUUUUUCUACAAAGUACUGAUCAACAAUAAGGAGUACCCUGUGGGUGCGGGUAAGAUUGUAAGGGAAGCGAAACAGAAAGCAGCUCAGCUGGCCUGGUCUGCUC